AUCAACUUCAAAUUCUGCGCCAUUGUUUGUGAGAGAAACAAUUGAAGAGACGGUGUCUUGCCAUUUUCGCAACUAUAGUUGAAUUGUUAAUCUUUGUACUGGUAUGUCCACUGGUGAGUUUUCUGGAAAGUGUCUCUGAAAAAAGAGUAUAUACAUCAGAAAAGAAGCAGAAAAGAAGAAAACCUUUGAAAAAUAUAUUAUACAAAAAAAGAUAGCAGAGACAGAGAAGAUUAAGAAGUACCUUAACUCAUAUUUCAUAAAUCCUUGACAAUCCUUUUCCCUUCAUCGAGAAUGUUGUGGUCACUGAACAGAAUAUCGACUGCAAACCUGAUACGUGCAUCUUGGACCAUAUCGUGCGUGAAGACUGAUUGCAACGCAUUCCUAGAACGCCAGUUCUCUAACCAGUUCAAGACAAAAAUCC
rnacentral:lncRNA from 1 species